UGGACCAGUGAUGACCACAGGUGGUGUCUGAGUCAUGGGAGAUGAAUAGUAUGUGCCUGGAACUCUGAUGUCCAA
ensembl:snoRNA small nucleolar RNA SNORD113/SNORD114 family